rnacentral:rRNA from 1 species
GACGAACGCUGGCGGCGUGCUUAACACAUGCAAGUCGAACGGAAAGGCCCUGCUUUUGUGGGGUGCUCGAGUGGCGAACGGGUGAGUAACACGUGAGUAACCUGCCCUUGACUUUGGGAUAACUUCAGGAAACUGGGGCUAAUACCGGAUAGGAGCUCCUGCUGCAUGGUGGGGGUUGGAAAGUUUCGGCGGUUGGGGAUGGACUCGCGGCUUAUCAGCUUGUUGGUGGGGUAGUGGCUUACCAAGGCUUUGACGGGUAGCCGGCCUGAGAGGGUGACCGGCAAAAUGGGGAUUGGGAUAGGCCCCAGACGCCAGCGGGAGGCAGAAGGGGGAAUUAUGGAAAAAGGGGCGGAGGCGUGAUGCAGCACCCCCGGGGGCGGGAGGAGGGCUUGGGGUUUGUAAACCGCUUCCGCCGGGGACGAAGGGGGAGGGACGGUAAUGGAAAAAGAAGCCCCGGCUAACUACGUG